UGGGGAAUAUUGCACAAUGGAGGGAACUCUGAUGCAGCGACGCCGCGUGAACGAAGAAGGCUUUCGAGUCGUAAAGUUCUUUUAUAUGGGAAGAUAAUGACGGUACCAUAAGAAAAAGCCCCGGCUAACUACGUGCCAGCAGCCGCGGUAAUACGUAGGGGGCUAGCGUUGUCCGGAAUCACUGGGCGUAAAGGGUUCGCAGGCGGAAAUGCAAGUCAGGUGUAAAAGGCAGUAGCUUAACUACUGUAAGCAUUUGAAACUGCAUAUCUUGAGAAGAGUAGAGGUAAGUGGAAUUUUUAGUGUCGCGGUGAAAUGCGUAGAUAUUAAAAAGAAUACCGGUGGCGAAGGCGACUUACUGGGCUCAUUCUGACGCUGAGGAACGAAAGCGUGGGUAGCAAACAGG
rnacentral:rRNA from 1 species